GGGGGCGUUCCUGGAUUCGACGGGGAUGACAAGACUCCAGGUGCAUGUCGAGGAUGAAAGAACCUCGUAAAUCCCUUUCAAAUCAAUAGUUGCAAACGACGACAACUACGCUUUAGCGGCUUAAUUCCCGCUGACGCUC
rnacentral:tmRNA from 1 species